AGCUCAGGUGGUAGAGCAAAAGAAUGAAA
rnacentral:tRNA from 1 species